rnacentral:lncRNA from 1 species
GCUCCAAUCGGGAAAAAAGGGAGAAAGAGAGGGGAAGAGGGCCGAUGAUCGGCUCCUAAGGAAGGGAAAGGUCCUUUUAUAGAGAACCUAGGACUCUGAGAGGUCCUAGGAUUCUGAUCUCCAAGAUUUGAUCGGAGAAGAAGACUGCUACCGGGAGUCUUCUUCCCGAUCUCCUGUUUCUCACUUUUUUUUUUUUGAAUGGGCUUGGGUCUUUUAAAUCGGGCUUGGGCUUGGGCUAUAACACAAGACAUACAUCUUUCUAAAAGGAUCUCUCCUAAA